GAGGCCGGGUGGCCUGUCCUCCGGUGGGGACUCCUGGAAGUUCCUUCCUUCCAUCGACUUCCGCUGGCAGCUCCGGUUCUGGGCCGCGUGGGAGGUGCUGGGGAGAGCUGCGGCCAAGGACAGCCUCUGAUCCCUGUGGGGGGUCAGACUGAGUGGCGGUGGUCCCGCAAAGGGCGGUUGCGAUCCCCAGGGAGUGUCGUGGUGGGGGCAGAGCCACACAGACUUGAAGUGGGGGCCGGCAUCUUCUUAGGCCUAAGAACCUGGUUUCCUGAAAGGGGCUCAUCUCCUGGGAAAGGAGGUCGGACUGCAAGGCACACGUGGAGGGGAUCUUCAACCCAGGGAUGGAACCCAAGUCUCCCGCAUUGCAGACAGAUUUACCGGCUGAGCCACAAGGGAAGCCCCUCCAACUAAAGGAAGAUGUCAAUCACUUGCAGUUGAGAGAGCACAUAGCCCCAGGCCUCCUGGAGCGAAAGGACUGAUAAUGCUAACCCUGGGACACACCCUGCUACCCCACCAUCUGCCAGUCAGAGAGCUGUGCUCAAGCUGAUCACAGACCCCGUGACGCCCAGUCUCCCUUGGCUUUUAAAAGUGCUUUGCCUAAACCCUUGGGGGAGCUUGGGGCUUUUUAGGGCACGAACCCACCCAUCUCCUUGCAUGGCCUUGCAAUAAACCUUUCUCGGCUCCAAACUACCAGGUUUCCUGGGCUCUAUGGGAGGUGUGACCUGAGGGAGCCACGUGGGCGGGAGAUGUAGAGAGGGUGCCAGGCAACCAGACGCCAGGAACAAAGCC
rnacentral:lncRNA from 1 species